GGCCUGAUGGCCGAGUGGCACAGGUAUCGGUUUCAAACAUGGAUGUUUGUAGUGGUUCGGAAUCCACUUUAAACCU